rnacentral:rRNA from 1 species
GAUGAACGCUGGCGGCGUGCCUAAUACAUGCAAGUCGAGCGAACGGACGAGAAGCUUGCUUCUCUGAUGUUAGCGGCGGACGGGUGAGUAACACGUGGAUAACCUACCUAUAAGACUGGGAUAACUUCGGGAAACCGGAGCUAAUACCGGAUAAUAUUUUGAACCGCAUGGUUCAAAAGUGAAAGACGGUCUUGCUGUCACUUAUAGAUGGAUCCGCGCUGCAUUAGCUAGUUGGUAAGGUAACGGCUUACCAAGGCAACGAUGCAUAGCCGACCUGAGAGGGUGAUCGGCCACACUGGAACUGAGACACGGUCCAGACUCCUACGGGAGGCAGCAGUAGGGAAUCUUCCGCAAUGGGCGAAAGUCUGACGGAGCAACGCCGCGUGAGUGAUGAAGGUCUUCGGAUCGUAAAACUCUGUUAUUAGGGAAGAACAUAUGUGUAAGUAACUGUGCACAUCUCGACGGUACCUAAUCAGAAAGCCACGGCUAACUACGUG